GAUGAACGCUGGCGGCGUGCCUAAUACAUGCGAGUCGAGCGAACAGAUAAGGAGCUUGCUCCUUUGACGUUAGCGGCGGACGGGUGAGUAACACGUGGGUAACCUACCUAUAAGACUGGGAUAACUUCGGGAAACCGGAGCUAAUACCGGAUAACAUUUGGAACCGCAUGGUUCUAAAGUGAAAGAUGGUUUUGCUAUCACUUAUAGAUGGACCCGCGCCGUAUUAGCUAGUUGGUAAGGUAACGGCUUACCAAGGCAACGAUACGUAGCCGACCUGAGAGGGUGAACGGCCACACUGGAACUGAGACACGGUCCAGACUCCUAAGGGAGGCAGCAGGAGGGAAACUUCCGCAAUGGGCGAAAGCCUGACGGAGCAACGCCGCGUGAGUGAUGAAGGGUUUCGGCUCGGAAAACUCUGUUAAUAGGGAAGAACAAAUGUGUAAGUAACUGUGCACGUCUUGACGGUACCUAAUCAGAAAGCCACGGCUAACUACGUG
rnacentral:rRNA from 1 species